UUAAAUAUAACAUAAGUUAAUGUGCUUUAUUUUUAAUAAAGAAAUAAAUUUUAUUUUAUUUAAU
rnacentral:tRNA from 1 species